rnacentral:lncRNA from 1 species
CUUUCCAUGGCAACACCCUGAUGGCCGAAAGUUACUACCCUUAUUCCAGAAAUCUCUGCAUAAUCUGUCGGUUUGCAUAUAAUUAACAGUGGCUAUAAAUGUGAGUGCAGCCCUGUCCUGUCCUCAGCUGCUGCCCUGGGCGCACUGCCUUGCGGGUCACUGUGGCUGCUCCUGUGCUUCAGCGGGACUAGAAGCUGCCGCCCACGGGCAGCGGGGAAGAAAUCUGGGCAAAGCCAUGAGCCCUCCGAGGCUGAGCUCCAGUUUAGGGGCUCACCUGCCUUGCAUCGUUCCGAGUCCUGUACUGGACUGCAUCAGGCCGCGUCUCCUCAGGAAAUGGGAUCUUGGUUCCUGGCCAGCACCCGGCCUCUCUGCACCUCAUAGACACUGCAAAUCCUUACUCAGUGACUUCAGGGAUACAGUAUCCGUAACAAGAGGGGAAAUUGAAGUCUGGUCCUAUGAAGCUCUCACGGUUACAAGUUUUCAAACUAAAGAUUUUCUAAGAAAUAUUUUCUUACAAAUAACCCCUUCUGUUACAUAAGGGCUUGACCUGAUUUAUUAAAACUAUCCUGACUCUCUGGCGAGGAAGGGUGGGAACUGCUGAAGGUGCCUCUUCCAAAGGUUUCCAGGGUCCUUCUCUCGGAUGGAGCCUGUCCAACUGCACUCUGGGGAAGGGAGAGAAACAGGAAGGCGUCGCCUUCACGCUCCGGUCACUCAGGAAGGUGGCUGUGCAUGCCUGAGAGCUUGCACCGGGGUGGAGGUAGCCACGGUCCCGAGACACGCCCUCUGCCCACACCUCCCUACCAGCCUGGCCAGACGCCUGGGGUGCCCAGUCGUCUUCAUGGUGGCAGCUGCAGAAGUAAUGACAACUCAUGGGCAUUUGGAGAACGCACCAGGCCCACGCUCAACAUUGCAUUUGAUUCCUGCGAGCGCUCAACAAGGGAAGCACCAGACAGAUGCUGAAAUUUAGGCAUGGCAGCACUGCUUUGCCUCCCUUGGCAGCACAGGGCUGCAGAAGGACUCAGAAUUGCGGGGAACCCUCUGCCUCAAGGCGCUCCACCAGGACACAGACACCCCCUCAGCGGCCCCUCUGCUUUUUCUUCAGAAUCUGAUACAUCUGGCCUGGACGGGAGAUGGUGCCCUCGGGCGCCAGAGUGUGGGGUCCUCUUCACAGCCACUCCCACCCCAAUUCCUGAUCUUCCGAGUUUCCUGGCUCACAGUGUUCCUUGUUCUCAAACCGCUCGCUUCACUGCUUCCGAUUCAACUUCAUUACCUAAAGUGAGAGAUACAGCUUCUUUCUUUCCCUCUCAGGAUCAAUGACUCGGUUUUAGGUCACCAUGGAGAGGGGAUUCAGAGCUCACGCAUCCGCCACACUUGAUUUCAGGAGAUGAGUGGCUGCGAGUCACCCUGCUGUGAGCCGCCAUGGUCCCCUGGUGAAUUGCCCAGGCCAAACGCCAUGGCCUCACCUGCUCACGGGCAAAGCAGCUGCCAGCUUAAAUGGUAAGAAAUUAGUAAAGGAAGGAAGGAAGGAGGGAAGAAGCCGGAAGGGAGAGCACGUCUCCGUCCCUCGAUGACGGCAUCAGGACACACCACGUCGGAGACUUCAGCUGCCAGAUGAGCACGGCCUAUUAGGGCCUCGUCCGGUCCCCGCUUAUCCAAGGGUGGUUAAGACCAAAUUCCUUCCCCAUAAUUAAACAGCAUGUAGACACAUACAAAAAUACCGCAGAAGAACUACACCACUGGGUCAAAACACAUGCCAGAACAAUAUUUCAUUUUAAAAGACAACAUAAAUGUCAACAUUUAAAAAGCCUGCCACAUAAGGUGAAAAACAAAACCUGUUGUGUACUGACUAGUCUCAGAACUCCUUGGCAGUUUUAUCUUUUCCAGAAAACUCUGUCUUCAAACCCCAAGACCUGUCUCCUUGUGGCAUCCUCCACAGGCUUGGUCUACAGCAUGCAUCCUCAGGGGAUUCUUCCAGGCUUACCUGGCCACGAUCCCCAGCACAGAACAGCUCAAGAUCACCGUCUACCCCCAUCUGCCAGAGCAAAUCUAUUUUCCACCAAGAGCAGGACUGUCGGCUGUCAGUCACCAAGGACACCCAGGUUGAUAGUUGGAGGCGACCAGCACAUUCUGAUGAAGUAGGUGAUGGUGCCUGCCCCAGGACCUGUGUGCACUGCAACAGGCAGCCUGCAGGGCGUGUGCCAGAGGCCAGGGCCUGAGCAACAGACACAGCGCUGCCCAGUGGGCCCUGCACCCUUGCAGUGAGGGGCAGCCUCAACCAACGAAAACACCACACACUAAGUCCUAGUUUCCAUCUAAGAAGUGUUUUCUGGAACUUUAAGCAACAUUUUAUUUCCACAGAUGUGGGGAAAAGGGAACCCUAUGGUGCAUAAUUAUUAACUUACUUUAGGGUCCUGUUUCUGGACUCAGUGGACUCAAGUGUAGCCAGGUCCAAUCUGUGCACUUGCCUCUGGAAUGUUCUGCCAACACCCUUUCCCCAGUUUUGCUGGGGAAGGCUGCAGGCAAGGAGAGGAGGCUAUUCCUGGCCCUGACCCAGGAGGAGAGACGGGAAAGGAAUGAGCAGACUUGAGCUUAAAUUUUCAUUGGAAGUAUUUAAGAAACACCUCAUGUUGGUCCUGGUUCUCUAUUAUUUCUCUCUAUUAAAAAUACCACCCCAAGUAAUCUGUACUCACUAUAGAAAAACUGGAAGUAAAAGUAAUAAUUAAAAAAAUCCCUGAAGCCAUAACUCACUCUUCUAUUACUAUAGUCAGCAUUUGCUGUGCCUCGUCCAACAAGCUGGGGUCGCCUCAGGAAAGAAGACUCUACCGUGCCCACUGCCCUCCCUCCAAGUCCUCCUCCUGUGGCGUCCCUCGUCGGGUAGUGCUGCCUUUUGGGAAGUCACUCUGGGUGGGGGUCUCCACCCUCCUGGGAAGUCUCCGGAACAGAAAGCAGGAGACACCGGCGCAUCCAGGCCCCAUCCCUCCCCGAAUUCACGGGCAGCCAGCAGGGGGCGCCACAGCAGCGCAGCAACAGGCACCCGGUUGCCGGCAUCACCGGCCCACGCUCGUUCCCUGUGCAUUUUGUUUAAAAUUUUUGAGAGAAAAUUUACAUAACAUAAAAUUAACCAUUUUAAAGUGUACAACUCAGUAGCUUUAGCGUGUUCACAAUAGAGUGGAACCAUUACCGCUAAUUACAGCACAUUUCCAUCACCCUAAAAGAAAAAGUCCGUUUCUCCCAAUGCCUUCCUCUCCUCAGCCCCACACCCAUUAAUCUACUUUCUGUCUCUGUGGAUUUUCCUGCCCUGGACACUUCAUAUAAAUGGAAUCUUACAACACGU